GACCACAGACAUUUGCGACUCUGAACCUA
rnacentral:piRNA from 1 species